GCAUGACCAUAGGUUGACUUGGAACAAGGAAGAAUACGACAACCGGACUUUCAUCCACGUCCACAAGAAGGAGGUCUGGUCACCCGAUGUGGACAUUGUCAAUGCGAAAACAAGCGACUUCGACUCGGUGAAGUGUUUGCUCACUGUCCAGCCUGACGGAACCGUGUGGAGCUGUUCUUCGUCGAAGUUCACAUUGCCCUGCCCCAUCGACACGAGAGAGUUUCCCACCGACAAACAGGUGUGUACGGCUCAUCUGACGUCAACCACGUACGGCGAUACCGAGGUGAAGUUAGUAAAAGGCAUAGUAUGGGGACGCUACCAAGAAGACGCGAGCACAGAAUGGAACAUCACCGGAAUUUCC